rnacentral:lncRNA from 1 species
GAAGUGAGUAGUUUCUAUUAGAUGAUAUAAAAAAAAAAGAUCGAAAUUUCAUAAAAAACUUUAUUUUCUCGUAGUUUUCAUAAUAGGCUUAUCUGUUAAGUAGACACUUUGAUGUUUGUGUAACUAAUUAACUUUCGCUGGCUGUGAAUCUUAAAAAAUAAAGAAUUCGAACUCAUCUUACAUCGGGAACAAAGUUUGGAAGUAAUUUGUGUUUUUAGUUGAUCUGUUUCUGCGUCCAUUGGCCGUGGGUGAUGGCCCGUUUGCCUGCCGAUGAGAGAAUCUUCGCUGAUUAUCUGAAAGAACGACAACACUGCUAAUCUGUGCAGGGGUCUGAGGUGACUCGAACAUAAUUGCAACCGCUAGUGGCACAGACGCGUCUCUGUCUUUUCCUUCUAAUUAUUUGUUUUGUCCUGGAAAGGAUUAGACGACUUUGCUAACAUAAAUGGAUUAGGUUCUUGCGGUGCUAUUAAGUCUGGAAUCCUGUCAGCGCCUGUUUGUUUAGCUGUAGCGCUUGAUAGACUCCAGCAUCUGAUGAUGUUUUGAUUCGACUCCAUCCUAAUAACUUCGCCACACCGGUUUGUACGUUAAACGUUGUGUUGGAAUAUUCAUCCAACCGAUUAAUUACGCCUUUUUCUUGUUUCCCUUGGCAGACGGCCAAAACAGCCCUUUUAAUAUGUACGCUACUCCGUGGCAUUCUCGACACGUAGACAUUCGUCGUCUAUUCCGAGGAUUAGCAUUGUAAUAGCAUCUUCAACUCGAAAUGGUCAAACUUUGAUAGAUUUUUAUAAUGUCUUUCUCCCCUGGGGCAGCUGGCUCCGGCGCUUCCAGGGUGGAAGGGAUUUCUUCGGGGGAUCCGUCAUGACACCUUUCUUGACUAAUGGCUAGGAAAAACAAACGGUCCUUUCUCCCCCUCUUACUCCAUCUGAAAAUGACCUUUCUCUCCAUUCAGAAUGGAGGGAUUUCUGCUUUGGACUGGUUUGACCGUUUCGAGAAAACAUUCAGCUCAACUGGAAAAUGUUCUCUAAUGUCUCUCUACCUGGAUGUAAGUGCUUUUCCAUCACAUUCUCUUACGACCAAUCCUUCUCAUUCAACUUCUGCUUGGUGAAGCCACACUCGAACAUCGUGAUCGUUGCGACUAGGCGUGACCGAUUUGGCCUUCCAUUCCAUUGUUGUUAAAACUGAAACAAUCUUUCUUCACACAACUUUCUAAGCCAGUGAUUAAUAUUUUGUGUUUUUUUCCCCCUCCUCCAAACAAAACGGCCUUGAUGGCGGGAAUUAAGGAAAGGCAUUCAUCAUAGUGAAACCGAAAUUAAAAAAAAAAACAAGAAGAAAAAACCUAUCCGGUUAAGGAGGAUGAGAGCGAAUGACUCACCAAGACGAAAACAAGAGAAAGUAAUUUUAAGAGAAAAUUGAAUUUAAAAAGCGAAAGUCACUAAAACGAGAUGCGCAGCUCGUACUUUUUGUAUAAGAAAUGCAGAGACGAUAUUGAAGAAAGCGCUCAUGUUGUCUCAAACUUUGAAGGGGGAUUAAGUAGAUUUAUAAAAAUUUAUAACCCCCUUCGAAUUAAUAUUUAACAGCAUUUUAUAUUCAUGAUUAUAUUUCCUCUUAGGGAAUCCCCCAUCUUAACAAGAAGAACUGGUAGGAAUGCGGUUCGUUUGAAUAAUUCGAAUUCUAACCCAAACCGCAUUUUAUCACACAUAGACCGAUACAGUUCUUCCAUUUGAUCUAGAUUAGAUCUAUAAAAGUAAGAUAGCGACCCAUUUCGAUAGAGAAACACGGAGAAAAAGGUAGAAGAAAAUGGAAUAGAAGCUCUCUUUUCCAAAAGCGAAACUCUGAGGUGAAAAGAGAAUCGAUCAAAUGCCUGUCUGACGUUCGGUGAGGAAAUUAGCGAGCAACAUCUUCUACCUCGCGACACAACUCGACUUAUCCUCCCUCUCGCUCUUCGACUCUUCCUGACUUUUUAUCCUUAACAUAAUUUCAAAAUAUUCUCCACUUCAUACAGAAUAAGAAAAAAAAACCGACCCUGUAAGUUGCAGACGAAUUCGUUCCUAAUUACAGUCACAGGAUGCGGGCUCCUUUAUAAUGAGGCGAGUAGUGCUUCCGUCCACUAUCCUGCUGACCCACACCUGGUUAUUGCCAACAUAACCCACCUUAACGACUUUCACUAAGCUCAUCUUUAAAAUAGGAAAGAUUUUCCUGGUCCACCUAUAUUGCUGUAAAAAUAUCUCAUUUUUAAAGGUAUUAAAUAAUAUUUUAAUUAGAAAUUAAUGACGAACUUUAAAGGUAAUGGCUAAUCGAAGACAGUCUAAUAAUGGUGGCUUUAAAUAUUAUAUAGAUUUUUCGUUUCGACGGAGAGUAGGAAAUCAUUACAAACGUUGCAUAAACUCAUAAAAAAAUAGAAAGGAAGCCAGAGAAAUGGUAUGGGAAAAAGUGUGCGAUUCUACUCUCUCUAAAAACAAGAAAAAGGUGGAGUGAUCAGUCUUGUUAUUCUGUAAAUGCUGUGGCGUGUAAUUCUGCACAUACACGUUCUGUAGGCAAUAAAUCUACCGAAAAUACGAGGAGAACAUACAGAAUUUAUGGCUUCUCCUACAAAUUCAGCCAUGUUCAUUCAAGUCAAACAUUUACACUUUAUGGAACUCUUCUAUCUCUGUAUUUAAUCUUUCCCAUUAGGAAAGAUACGAGCUGGUGAACAAUCGCUCGAAUAUUUUCCUCUUUCUGAUUAGCCAAGCAUAUUCUCCAGGCAUUGUUACUGCUACAAGUUAAACUAUUGAAAAUCACAGUCACCAGGGCCGUCAUUAUCAUAAACAUGGCCGAUUUAGCUUUUGUUUUAUGUUUAAAUUGUGGCUGUGACGGGCAUUUGUUUAUUAUAAAUUCUAUAGAUGUAAAUUUGAGACUCAAGUUGGAAGUAUCCCAAAUUUUCUUACCUAGAAAAGAAAAAAAAAAGCAACUUCA